AAUAUUAAUUAGAACAUUGAUAGAUUUCUCUAAUUAUUACCCACAUCAAGGUCUCCUUAGGAGGGCAGCCUUUUAUUAAUUUCUUUGUGAGAUCUGUGCUAAAUUUCUACAGUAUUCAACAGUCCAGUCUUGAGAAGUUCCAGGUCUUUCUUAAAAAAAAAAAAAAAAAUCACAGAAUUAAAUAAACAAAACUCCCUGAAUCCAUCCUUUAAAGGCUACCUUUAGAAAUUUUAAGAUAGAGAUUUAAGGAUAAGAAAAUAAAGAUUAGUUAUACUACAUUAUUACACUUAAUAUUGAUAAUUUAUACUCUUGUACUCUUGUGUCCAUCUUCAUUUCAAUAUCUUCUAUGGAAUAUUUUCUCCUUUACUUUCUGUUCUGAUUUUUUUUUUAACACUUGGUCUUAGCCAAAAGGCAGAGAAGCGAUGACAUUUUUUUUUUUUUAAAUAUGAUCAUGUAUGUACUCACUUCAGGUUCCUCAGUCUUGAGUUAGUAUCAAGAAAAGGCAAUUAUAAGCUGGGCAGUGGUGGUGGCACAUGCCUUUAAUCACAGCACUUGGGAGUCAGAGGCACGUGGAUUUCUAAGUUCGAGGCCAGCCUGUUCUACAGAGUGAGUUCCAGGACAGCCAGGGCUACACAGAGAAACCCUGUCUGGAAAAAACCAAGAAAGAAAGAAAGAAAGAAAGAAAGAAAGAGAGAGAGAGAGAGAGAGAGAGAGAGAGAGAGAGAGAGAGAGAGAGAGAGAGAAAGGAAAGAAAGAAAGAAAAGAAAGAAAGAAAGAAAAAGAAAGAAAGAAAGACAAGGA
rnacentral:lncRNA from 1 species